rnacentral:misc_RNA from 1 species
CCAAACUUGGUCAUUUAGAGGAAGUAAAAGUCGUAACAAGGUUUCCGUAGGUGAACCUGCGGAAGGAUCAUUACAAAACGACGGGGGCCUCGCGCCCUCCUCCGGUGCGCGGAAACGCGUGACGGAUCACCCUUUGUGAAAAACCUUUGUUGCCCCGGCGGCUCCCUCCCCCGCGGGGGAUAAGCCCGCCGGCGGACCACGAAACUCAUGCCAUUAACAUCUGUCUGAAUUUAUUAUCUAAAUGAUAUAAAACUUUCAACAACGGAUCUCUUGGUUCCCGCAUCGAUGAAGAACGCAGC